rnacentral:ncRNA from 2 species
CCCUGUUCUCAGGGCGGGGCGAAACUCCCCACCGGCGGUAUGCGGGCUUGGUCCCGCGAGCCCGCGAGCGCCUUCCAACCGGAAGGGUCAGCAGACCAGGUGCGAUGCCUGGGCCGACGGUUACAGUCCGGAUGAAAGAGGACAUGC